GAUCAAACUCACCCUUAAUCUUCACCAACCUCUCGAAAUUCCCUUUGUAAUACUUAGCACCCCACUCUCUAGCAUCAGUCUCUCCUUCAUUAGUCCCCAAAUCAAGAUCCCUGUAAUUCACAUACGCCUGUCUCGGGUUCUUCGACACAUACUGCUCCAUGUAACUAUACAUCUCCCUAAUCCACUUCAUAUGCCUUUCCUCGCUCACUUUCCCAUCUUGCCACGUGCUUAGCCACUGAAUCUUGAACAAUGUCCCGUUCCUAUGAGGGAAAGGUAUCUCUGACUCGGAGAUCCUCGACAUCAUUCCUCCGUAAGGGUUCCAUAUCGUUAACGGUGAAUCUUCUUCUAGAAACCUUUCCCAUAAUCCUUCUAAACCUUCUACUGGAAUUGGCUCUUUC